UACGUAGGGGGCAAGCGUUGUCCGGAAUCAUUGGGCGUAAAGAGCGCGUAGGCGGUCCGGUAAGUCGGUUGUGAAAACUGGGGGCUCAACCCUCAGAGGCCGACCGAUACUGUCGGGCUAGAGUCCGGAAGAGGCGAGUGGAAUUCCUGGUGUAGCGGUGAAAUGCGUAGAUAUCUGGAGGAACACCGGUGGCGAAGGCGGCAUCCUGGACCGACACUGACGCUGAGGCGCGAAAGCUAGGGGAGCAAACAGG
rnacentral:rRNA from 1 species